UUAUGGCCAUAUCACGUUGGAACACCGGUUCUCGUACGAUCACCGAAGUUAAGCAACGUCGAGCCUGGUCAGUAACUAGAUGGGUGAUUCCUUGGUAAUACCAGGUGCUGUAAG